CCUCCCCUGCGCGGGCCGUGUCGCGGGGGGGAUCGGACCCGGGGGCGGUGGGUGGCGGCACUCGGCGUCCUCGGGCCUAGCGGGGGUGGGGGCAGCGCAUCUUGGCUCUAAAAUGGCUCCUUCGGGCGCCCGAGGCUUGCCUGGGCCGUGGGUGACGACCCGGGUCCCUCUCCGCUGCCCGCGUCUCUCCUCACACGGUCCCUGCUCCCAUCGCCCCGGCGGGCUGAGGGCGCCGGCUCCCGGUGCUGCGGGCCGGCCCCUGCCCAGCCAGCGCAGGCUGAGCCUGUGCAGACAGCGCUGCUGGAGCCCCGGGGUUCCUCCCCGCUGCUCUGCUCCCUUCCCGCGGUCCGGAGCCGCCUGCUUGCCGCCGGGCCCGGGGGUCGCUGUCCUGCCCGUUCCCGCUCCCCGGCCGGGCCGCCGGGGCCUCCUCCCGCCCGAAAGAGGAGGGAGCCGCGCGUCCUUUUGUGCGAGGGGAGCGGUGUCUCCUGGCUGGGAGCUGCCUCGGGCCGGGCCCCCUCCGCCACUGGGGAGCUCCGGCCGUCGUUAUUAAACCAUUGAAAGUCAUCGAUCGUGCAGCUGAAGGCUUCCAGCGAGCUGCUGUGGCUUUGUAACCUCGUUAGGCCUGUGUCUUCCCUCUGAUGGCUGCGGGUUUUCACGUACACGUGUGACAGGUCCCUUCCAUUUUUAUUGUUUUUGUGGUUUUGGGGUUUUUUUUUAGUGAUGAUCAAGGCAAGCAGGGAUUAGAAGCUGCUUGAAACAGGAACAAAAUGUGUGCUCCUCCAUCACAAUUUACUUUUUUUUUUUUAAUUUUGCAGAGGUUUUCUUUUUGUUUGUUCUUUUAAGAGAUUUUUUUAGAAGAACACCUGAGCAUCCCCUUGGUGACUCUGAUGAUCCAGCGACAGCAGCCUUGCAGUUACAUACAUAGCUGCUGUCUGGGGAAACAAGCAAUAAAAUCUUGGAAAAACGGCAUUACCUUCCACAAAUUAUUUUUGCAUUACUAUUGUUGCCAUUUUUGUGGUGAUUAAAAAACAAUCUAUAGACUGCAAGUUCUUUACCUAGCUAUGCAAUAACUGCUGCUGCUUCCUCGCGUGAGGUAAACAAAACCUUGCCUUGUGUUGAUUGCUUGGACAAAAGGUGGCUGGGUAGCUAAGCAGUAUUGGGGUAAAUAAACAGAUCUUUGAAGGGGAAACAGCUAAGUUUCAGAAACUUGAGCAGUGAGCGUGCUUGGUUGCUUUUUUUCUCUUUUUUAAGAUGACAGUAAUCUCCCAUUUUACAGUCAAGAUUUGUAACUUUAAGGGUUAUUUUCUUGUCUGUAUGCCUAGUGUGGGUUAUUGUGAGGAAAGAAAUUGAGUUAGGUUAGUUGUCAGAACAUCGGUAUUGGGCUCUUUGAUGGGUCUGUUGUUUUUGUUACAAAGCUGUUACAGCUCUGGACUUUCAGCAUUUCUGCACACCACCUCCUUCCAGAUGUAGAAGUAAAAUGUUGUGAGAGAGCAUGAAGUCUGAAAAGUCCUACAGUAGCAGUUUCUGUGACUUCUGCUUAUCAGUUGUUCUGUUUUUUUUGUUUUUUGUGAUGGAAAAUUUACCUGUUGGAAAGAACUGCUGACUCUGUUGAGUGUUCAUUUGGAAAACUUCGUUUGUUUUUGCUCCCUACACUGAAAUUCGCAAUCAAUAAGGCAUGCCUGAGCAUAAUGGCAGCAAGUUCAACUUUGUUUCAAGCAAGUUCUGUGUUAAGACUGUGCCUGGUUGAACAGAAGAAAGCCCCCUCCUCAAGCAAGGUGAUUUAAUAGAAAGAAAUUUACAGAGGAAUUAAAAAUACAGUGGAUGUGCUAGAGCUAAGUUUAUGGACAUUAAGAAUAAUAAAAUAUUUUAAAUUGUGUUUCUUAUCCAGUGACUUGGCUUUGGAAACAUCAAAGUAUUUUAUCACCAUUGAAUGUUUUUUGUGAGCAGAUUAGACAAAUGAGGUUUUUUUAUCUUUUAUUUCUGUCAGAUGGCAGGUAACUCUUACUUCCUUUCAUAUUUUUUGUUAUUUUUUUAUUAGGCUAUUGUUUAUUUGGUGUUCAAUCCGUGGUGCAACUUUAGAUGUUUCCCAGAGCAAUGAACAGAAGGGAGUCUGAACAAACCUGCACUUGAGUAGCUCCACUUGAAACUUUGAUCAGUUUUUUCUGUUGAGCUUCUGGUAACAUUUAAUUUCUGUAAUCUUAACCGUUUAGUAGUUUUCUCCAGUAUUAAUGUGUUGUUUGUCUACAUAGGCAAAACCUUUUAUCACCACAAAGGUAAAAUUCCAUUUUACAACUCUGUAUUGAUUGGCUUCCUUCUAAUGGUGCUGCUGUGUGCAGGGUCUUACAGUGGAAUAAAUAGUGUAAUGCAAUAAACCACUUCAAGAAAUGCAGCGGUUUGCACGUGGCCCAUCCUGCUGAAGGGAGGGUGCAGAUUUCACAGGUACACAAGUGGCUUUUGGGUUAGUUCAGCUGGGAGAGUGCCUUGUGUUUGCUUCCUGAAGUUUGGAUGCAAAAUACCUAGAUACCUACGAAUUACCCAACUGAUCAACUUUGAGAUUAUUUCUUUGGCAAAAAAAGCCCCAAGGGCUUGCUUAGCUAUUGUGUUACACCUCUCCUGCAGUGGCAGCCUGCCACCUCUGUGGAAAGGAAGGAAUGUUGCUUCCCACACCUUUUCAAACACCAGCACAAUGGACUGCUGGUGCUCAGGCCUUGUGCAUUCCCUUGGAGAGUGCUGUGAUCGCCCUGCAGCGGCUGAUGACAGUGUGUGUGAGGCUUUUCUUCUGCAAGCCUGAUUUUUCAUUGUUAUUGUUUUAAUCAAGCUUCAUAAAUUUUGCAUUGUUCUGGACCUUGCCAGCUAGGAAAACCGCUCCUUUUGAACACGUUUUUUUUGCUGUCUUCCGUGUCUGGUAGAGGAAUGACUACAGAACCCUCCCUUAAGAGGUGACUUUCAAGCCUCAGUGAGAAGAUGAGCUUGUAAUUUCAAAAAGUUUAUUGCUGAAGCCUUUUCUUUCUUUUCAUAAGUGGGAUCAUUGAGAAAUACAUAAAGUUUGCUUAUGUUAGUAACUUUUAAAAUAUCCAUGUCUUCUAGGUAGCAACUUAAAAGAUGCUUUUUAUACAGAAGCUUAUUAUGUGUACUAUUGACAUAGUCAUAGAAGAUUAGCUAAUUAAGGGAUCCAUUUUUUUUUUUUAGUAUAAUGACAGAUCACAGUAUGAAACAAAAAGGAUUUAACUUCUGAGUUUCAAAGAAGGUUGGUAGAUUCCUGCCAAAAUAUAAUCUUGUCCUCAUAAAUGGGAUGUCACUAGCUUAACACUUUUAUCUGGUGAAUGUGGGCUGCUGCUAAAUUCAUGUUUCUUUUUUGACUGCUUAUAUUUUUCUGUCCCUUUUUAAUAGAGUUUGACUUCAUUUAUUUUUUUUAGUUUGGGCAGGAGUUUUUAACAAGAUUUUUGGAAAUGGUAUUGCUCGACCACUUGUCCUAUCCUUUUCUUUUCACUCCAGGUCAAUUGAAUUUCACCUGAAAUUUCUGUGGGAUUUAAUAUUUUGGGGGUUUUUUCCCAUGCUUUGCUAUAGAAAGCUUAGUUUAAACUUAUGUCAUUAUUUUUAGUUAGCAUCUCACUCUAAAUUUUAAUAGCCUUUCAUCAUACUCUGAAAUUGUAAGGUGAGAGUUAGGGUAAGGAAUGACAAGUUCAGGACAGAAGAGUAGUGUGAAAGAACAUGAGAUUGUUUUGGUUGGUUGGUUUGACAAAGGGGUUGGUUGGUUGGUCACUUGUUUGUUUUGUUUGUUGUGGGUGCCCCCCCCCCCCCCCCCGUGUUCUUUAUCAUACCUUCUUUUGAUGGGUGGUAAAUGGAAAGUACUUCUUCAAGACUUCUGCAGUUCUCCUCUGUAUAGAAGUGUUUAAAUGCUUUUAAAACAGUAAUGACAUUGGAAAGUGGGAUUUCUUUUGAAAGACUCAAGGAAUUUAAGUGGUAGAUAGAACUUUUUGAUCAGUUAAGCAGUUUUAUCAGUAUGGAUGAAAUACAUGGACUGACUGAUGCCUGGCUCAGAUGGAUCAUCUGAAGUUGUUGGUAGUUGCUCAGUGUUGGGGUUUAUGUGAUCAUGGAGUAGUGGGGGUGGAGGAGACAUCACUUUGGUUUGUUACUUCCUGGGAAUGAAGGAAGAUAACAAGGAUUAAAAUACUCCUCAGUACUCUCUUAAAAUGCGCAGCUAGAAGCAUUUAAUCCAGAGAAUCAGUAACUGAAUCUGCAAAUUUUUUUUAUUUUUGUGUUUGUCUACAAUUUUGGCUCCAAGUUCCAAUUCUUGGUGAAUCAUUAGUCCCAUUUCCUGGUGUGUAUUUGAGGAAACCACUACAUCUUACUCUGAAGAAGCACACUCUUACAACUGAGUUCAGUUUUUUGUAAUUACUUUUGGCAGGGGGGAGGGUGUUUGGGGUUUUUUGUGUGGGUGGGUUUUUGGUGUUUUGGGGAGAGGUGUUUCCUGGAAAAGUGUUAGUGGCAGAUGCAGGGUUUAUUUUGAAAGACAAGUCUGAUCUGAAGAGUAUUAUGAAGUUCUAUUUCUUUUCCUGCAGACUCUAGUGGCAGCAAACUUAGAUAGUUUGACAUGGGGAUAGUGAAUUAUCUGCCUACAAGUUUGCAAGGGUGAAAGUAGUGACUGGACAGCUGCAUAAGGAAGCCCAAGGCUUUAAGAUAGGUACUGUCUGUAGGAAGGUGGUGGGAUGAGGAGCUGAGUUUACACUGAGUCUCAUCUGUGGCCCUUGAAUGACUAAGGGUCUUUAGGACAGAAAGAUGAGAAAGUGGUGCUGACGAUCCAAAGUGCAACUCUAGUGUUUUCUCUCCUACACAAUAUUUAGUUUCUGUGGUAAUAACAGAGCUAAGAUGAGAAUGCAUAGGUUGCUUUAAGCUGGUACAAAAUUGAGGUAUUUCAGUGCAUUGGGGUAAUAGAGUUGUCUGCUUUCUUAUGUUAAAGAUGACAUACUAAGAGUGUUGAGUACUUUUGUCAUACAUAUUGCAGAAUGGAUAUAAGUGGUUCAUGAAGAACAAUUGGGUUGUUCUGUGGUGUAGACUAAUAUACAGCUUGCUAAUUGUUUGAUUAUAGUGGUAAGUAGAGAAGAAAAAUUCUCUAAAAUCUCUCUUGGUGAUUCCUUGAAGCUCUGAAUCCCUUAAUCCCUGCCUGUAGUUUUGCUGAUAUAAAUAUUACUAGGCACUUUCUCAGCAUCAUCCUUAAGUCCUUAAACUUUUGCAAGUUAUUGUGAUUCUCUCAGUCUCCUUUAGAAGCAUUGUAGGAAUUGUAACUAGGUGAACUAUGUUGCAUUAGAAGAUGAGAUGUAAUUGCUUCCCAGUGACAGUGUGCAACUGCUCUCAGGUAAUCUCUCUUCAGCUGCAGCUUAUAUCCACAGUUACUUGGUUGAGGAAGGUCAGAAUCUCUGAGAAUUUACAUGGUCCCCUCUGUCACAGCAGUUUUCAAGUUGUGUAUUUGUGAAUAUAACCCAUAAGGGACUAAACCAGGUAAUUUCAUAUAGGUUAAUUUGGAAGUAUGUAAUAUUUGCUUUUGUCAACUUUAUAUAGAUUUGGUGUCAUAGCUGAUAUUAUUAAAGACUCUAUGGGUGGUAUUGUAAGAUGCUUCAGUUGAACAGCUAAGAACACUAAGCUGACUUGAGCAAUUGUGUCCAUGGUACUUUUGGCACCUCCCAACACUUAUAGAUUGUGCAGGAUCUGGGGAUGGGGUGGGGGUUGUAUUUUUGUUCUAGUUUCCAGAGUUCCCGUUCAAGAAUUGAUCUUUCAGAUGUAAAAAGUAUGGACAAUGCAGUAUCCUUAUGAAGAAGGAGUGUCUGAGGAGGGUGAAUUCUUUGUCUUUUAUAUUCAAGGGUGUUUUUUAAAAUCUGAUGUAACUUUGAAUGUGUUUCUUUAUUACUGAUCAUUUUUUACUAGGGAGAGAAAUACAAAUAGUUCCCAGAGAAAUUGGCAGUUGUUGCAAGUGAUGAGUUAUAAAGAGAAGAAUUUAGGAGGCUGUCAGACAUUGAAGAGUACAAAGAGGCGAGGUGAUAAAAAAGUAAUGUUAGUGGUUAUAAGAGAAAUUUUUGUUUAUUGCAAACAGUGAAUUCCAAAUGUCAAGCCACCGAAUUUGGUAAUAUUUACAGGCAUGUACAUAAUUUAUUUCAGUGAAGUCCUGUAGUUAGCUCAGUACAUAGCUAUCCUCGUAAGGCUUGUAUGGGCUGCCAUUCACAGCCAAGCUUUGAAUUUUGCCUUCAUUAUUAAAGUUUGGCAAUGCCUGUCAUCCUAGUAGGUGACAUUCUCCAUGUGUCCUUUGUCCUUUUUAUUGAGGUAAAGGGGAAUGGUAGUGUGGCUGCAAUAAUUGUUAGUAAGGAGCUUCUCAGGUUCUAUUUCUGGUGAAUUUACUGUCUGGAAAUAUGAAGACAGCAUCUUUGAAAAAGAACCCAGCCCAAGGUAGUGAAGAAUUUUAACUGCAAAAGAAACUGCAAAUGUGGACAAAGGGGAUAGAGUAAGAAAGAGAAAAAAUUAUGAAGACAGUCAGACGGAGAAAUCGUGCAAAUAAACCUGAAAUGUGACACCUGUGGGAGGGGAACUUGGUAUGCAUUUUUCAUUAAGUGUUUUGUGAAGUUACAAAUGUAUAUAGCAUACUGUUCUGUAGGGGUUUCUAUAGCUAAGCUCCCUAGAAAUGCUGUACACUAUAAAAUGUGAGGAAAUCCUAACCUGCUCUUUGUUUGCUUGUUUUCCUAGUUUUUCUCUUGUGUGCCUUACCAUGCAAGAAAAAAACCCCUCCUGUUUUUACUUCUGUUGGAUUGCUUUAACUAUACGGUUCUACAUCUUAGUUUAUAUGGAUUAUAUAAGGAAAACAGGAUAACAAUGAGGAAGAAAAAGUAGCAAGAAUAAUAAUUUAUUUUGCUUAUACCUAUAUGCAUGUGUUUUGUGAGUAAGUAUGUGCAUAGAUAGGUUUUGACUGGAAAUCUUUGGCCAUUCUGUUGAAUUGAAUGUCUUAGUAAUCUGUAGGAGUAAAAUUUGGGAUAUUUAAUACUGAGAAGCACAUAGUUAUUAUUUUAGGGGGGGGAAUCACUGAUAUCAACGCUUCAAUAUAUUUGUGCUAAUUAGUUUUUAGUGUAUCUAUGUAUCUUACAAAAAAAUCUCAGAGGGGAGGAGGGUAGCUUUGCAAAUGCAGUAAAACACUGAGAACUCAGUAAGCUUAUUGUUAGAACAUAGACACUUAUACAGUUUUAAAGAUAAUUUUUUUAAAAAGUUGUUUUAUAAAAUAG